AAAAUAGAACAUAUUUUAACAGAUGAGUACGUUGCCAGUCUUCAUCUUCCCAGUUUUGAUGCUCAUCUUACUGAACUAACAGAUGAUCAGGCCAAAUACAUGGGGUUGAACAAAGCAGGGCCUUUCAAGCCUAACUAUUACAGGUAUUAAUCAGGACCACUGUGGGUCAGUUGGAGCGUGUGAAUCUGUAAAUAAAGUGUUGCUUGGAUCACACCAACCUCAAUACAAAUGUUUUACCUUCGAUACGAGUUUUAUUCUAGAAAUCAAACGUAGAAUUAUUGUAGUCUAAAGCAUGUUAUUAUGUUGGUUAUAUCGAGAAAAAAAAAUAUGUAAAUAGAAAAACAUGCCUUUCAUAAGUUUGAGAAAAUUAAUGUUCUAUAGUGAGAUAAUAAACCAGGCUGCUGGUUUCAAAAAUGUUCUUUUUUUUCUUCACAAUUUGAGUAGUUUUCUUACUUAAUUUGGUGUUUUUCUAUGUAUUGAGUUAAACACCGACAGGUUUUGUGAUGUACUUUUACAUUGUAAGAGGGCAUUAGUUAUAAAAGACUGUUUCAGAUGCUGCUGUCUUGAGUGGAAAAUUAAUCUACAGUGAUGCACUACUAGCUCUAAGAUAAGAAAAUUAUUUAAAAUUGUGAACGAUUAGAUAUGCAGGAUGUUCGAUAAUCCAUAUUAGCUUUAAUUGUACGUAUAUUCAAACUAUUGCAUCUUCCUAGGACAUUUAUCCUUAACACACUUUGCUGUAGAUUGUAAAGGGUUGUCCCUGACAUCUUUCAAAAUUAUUCCAAACUUUAUAAGGUGAUCCUUGCAUUAAACAGAUCUAUAGAUGUAUGUAUUGUUUCGAAGAGAAGCAUCAGAGAACCUGUUCUGGUGUGUGUGUAAGUUCGUUUUUUAACUUUUCCAGCCAGUUAAAUGUGUAUAUACUGUUACUUUAUCUUUCCAAACAACACAACAGUAAUAGUUUGUGCGAGUAAAUCUAUAGUAAUAUAUGUAUAUAUAGAAAUCUCAGAAGGUUCAAUUGUGGUACCUAUAUUAAUGUUAUACAUUUUUCUCCUCAUUAACAAGAGGUGAAAUUAUUGAAGCUCAUAAAAUAAUAAUGGGAAAAAAA